rnacentral:lncRNA from 1 species
UUAUUCACCUUAUUCUCUACUUCCACAACCACAAGCCAGCACAAAUAGGAUUUAUCUUCAAGAAGCAGUCUGCGUAAAGAUUUUCAUCCCUACAGCACAGAACAUCACAAGGUUUCCUUUUUGAACUCCUCUUGUUUCGUUCUUACUAUAUGAUUAAAGCACCCAGGUUUCAUAUAUGAAAAGUGAAGAAAACACACGCAUACAUACAUACAUUCAGAUUCAGUGAGUCUCCUUAGAGGGUGUUUGGCUGAGCUUAUAAGCUCCUCAAAAGAAGCUUAUAAAGUCCCCUUGAGAUGGCCUAGUGGUUGGGGUGGUUGCCUGUUGUCCACGAGGUUACAGGUUCGAAUACACUCGGCCACGAGGUUACAGAUUCGAAUACACUCGGCCACAAUAAGGACUAGGUGGGGUGUGUGUGGUUUGUAUUAUUUAUAAUUCAAUUUCAUCCAAAAAAAAAAAAAGAGCUUAUCCCCAAAAAAUAAAUUCAACCCCAACUUAUUUUUUAUAAUCUCAUAUACAACAAUCUUAUUACAAAUAUACACCUUAAUCAACUCAAAUACAGAUAUGUAUUUAUGUGUUAAUAAGCAACAAGUCACUAUAAUACACAAAAUCUGCAUGCAAGUUUGAAUUAAAACGAAUACUAAAAGGGGGUUUUUUUAGCUUAGUUCUGAUGUUGAAGUGUGUGAAAUCGGAGAUGGGCUGGUGACGACGGUAGUGGCAUGAGAUGCCGUUGCUGUGAGAGAGAGACGGAGGGAUGCUAGUGUUCGGCGACGGCGGCUUAUGGCUGUGCUUUCGCCCAUCGAAGGUGGCGGUGGUGGCUGGAUCCGAGAGUCCAGGGUUUUUAAGCCGCGGCGACCUCCUGCCGUUGCUGACAGUCGGACUGAGACGAGGGCGGCGCGGGACGUGCGUGCGUGUACUGUUUCGGUGUCCGUGUGUGUAGUGUGGGACGAGUGAGAGGUCGAGGGAGAAGAGGUGGCGACCGACGGCGCUCGCUGUAAGAAGGAGGAGGCGCUGCCUGGGAUUGUUGUCUGUGUGUCGGCGGUUUCUUUUGCGAGUCUGAGUGAAGAAGGAAGUGGAGAAAUAGGUGGGCUUCGGGCUGUUGGGCUUUAAGUUGGGCCCUUAUUUUUAAUUAAAACUUAACUGUCCUAUUAAAUAAAACUGGGCUGCUUUUUUUUUUAUAGGGCCUUUUAUUAAUUUGGCCUCUAUUCAUUUAAUUAACUUGGUUAAAUGAUAUAAGUGUCUACUUAAUUAAUUAGACUCUUUAAUUUAAGUUUAAUUAAUUCUUCUAAAAAAAAUAUUGC